GACGAACGCUGGCGGCGUGCUUAACACAUGCAAGUCGAACGGUGACCCAGGGCUUGCCCUGGUGAUCAGUGGCGAACGGGUGAGUAACACGUGGACAACCUGCCCCUGACUUCGGGAUAACUCCUCGAAAGAGGAGCUAAUACCGGAUACGACCACUUCGGACAUCCGAUGGUGGUGGAAAGUUUUCGGUCAGGGAUGGGCCCGCGGCCUAUCAGCUAGUUGGUGGGGUAAUGGCCUACCAAGGCGACGACGGGUAGCCGGCCUGAGAGGGCGACCGGCCACACUGGGACUGAGACACGGCCCAGACUCCUACGGGAGGCAGCAGUGGGGAAUAUUGCGCAAUGGGCGAAAGCCUGACGCAGCGACGCCGCGUGAGGGAUGAAGGCCUCGGGUUGUAACCGUACUUCUAGCAGGGACGAAGCGAAAGUGACGGUACCUGCAGAAGAAGCACCGGCGUAACUACGUGCCAGCAGCCGCGGUAA
rnacentral:rRNA from 1 species